rnacentral:rRNA from 1 species
AACGAACGCUGGCGGCAGGCCUAACACAUGCAAGUCGAGCGCCCCGCAAGGGGAGCGGCAGACGGGUGAGUAACGCGUGGGAAUCUACCCAUCUCUACGGAAUAACGCGUGGAAACGUGUGCUCAUACCGUAUACGUCCUUCAGGAGGAAGAUUUAUCGGAGACGGAUGAGCCCGCGUUGGAUUAGCUAGUUGGUGGGGUAAAGGCCUACCAGGGCGACGAUCCAUAGCUGGUCUGAGAGGAUGAUCAGCCACACUGGGACGGAGACACGGCCCAGACUCCUACGGGAGGCAGCAGUGGGGAAUAUUGGACAAUGGGCGCAAGCCUGAUCCAGCCAUGCUGCGUGAGUGAUGAAGGCCCUAGGGUUGUAAAGCUCUUUCACCGGUGAAGAUAAUGACGGUAACCGGAGAAGAAGCCCCGGCUAACUUCGUGACAGCCGCCGCCGUAAUAC